rnacentral:rRNA from 1 species
GACGAACGCUGGCGGCGCGCUUAACACAUGCAAGUCGAACGGAAAGGCCUGCUUUCCCUUGUGGAUUGCGGGUACUCGAGUGGCGAACGGGUGAGUAACACGUGAGUGAUCUGCCCCCAACUUGGGUAUAAGCCUGGGAAACUGGGUCUAAUUCCCGAUAGGACUGCAGGGUGGUGCCUGUGGUGGAAAACGAUCUUCUAGUGGUUGGGGAUGAGCUCGCGGCCUAUCAGCUUGUUGGUGGGGUAAUGGCCUACCAAGGCGGCGACGGGUAGCCGGCCUGAGAGGGUGGACGGCCACAUUGGGACUGAGAUACGGCCCAGACUCCUACGGGAGGCAGCAGUGGGGAAUAUUGCACAAUGGGCGGAAGCCUGAUGCAGCGACGCCGCGUGGGGGAUGACGGCCUUCGGGUUGUAAACUCCUUUCGACCGCGAGGAAGCCACCUGGUUGGAAGGGUGGUGACGGUAGUGGUAGAAGAAGCACCGGCUAACUACGUG